rnacentral:rRNA from 1 species
AUUGAACGCUGGCGGCAUGCCUUACACAUGCAAGUCGAACGGCAGCGGACCUUCGGGUGCCGGCGAGUGGCGAACGGGUGAGUAAUGUAUCGGAACGUACCUUUCAGUGGGGGAUAACGUAGCGAAAGUUACGCUAAUACCGCAUAUUCUGUGAGCAGGAACGCAGGGGAUCGCAAGACCCUGCGCUGAUUGAGCGGCCGAUAUCAGAUUAGCUAGUUGGUGAGGUAAAGGCUCACCAAGGCGACGAUCUGUAGCGGGUCUGAGAGGAUGAUCCGCCACACUGGAACUGAGACACGGUCCAGACUCCUACGGGAGGCAGCAGUGGGGAGUUUUGGACAAUGGGGGGCAACCCUGAUCCAGCCAUGGCGCGUGAGUGAAGAAGGCCUUCGGGUUGUAAAGCUCUUUCGUCCGGGAAGAAAUCGCAUCAGCUAAUACCUGGUGUGGAUGACGGUACCGGAAUAAGAAGCACCGGCUAACUACGUGCCAGCCGCCGCCGUAAAAC